UAAGAAAGAGAAAGCCAGGAAGAAGCUGUAUCAUUUUUUAGGAUGCAGUCUCAGAGGUCACACUUCUGCCAUAUUCUUUUCAUGAAAACUUAGUCACUAAGCCCGCCCAAAUUUGGUGGGGUGGGGGGAAUUACCAAAGAAUUGGCAGGCUAUAUGCAGAAUAUGCCAUAUCAGUGAAUUUUCUAUGUCAGAAUGAUCUUUCCAAGGUGAAAAACAAUACUGGGUCAGGGUUGGUCUCUGGAUUUUGAAAGCAACACAUAUAACAUGUGAGCCUGCUGCUUUCAUCUAGGCCAAUUUUAAGUGGGGCACAAAGCAAGAAAAGCCUCCACGGCAAGUCUAGGCUUUGAUGAAAAUUUUCCUUCCACGUGGACCUUAUGGUUGAGCAUACCAUAUAAGAUUGCUAGUUGGAAAAGCCUCCCGAGGUGCUGGGACUGCAGACGGAGUCUCGCUCACUCAGUGCUCAGUGUUGCCCAGGCUGGAGUGCAGUGGGGUGAUCUCGGCUCGCUACAACCUCCACCUCCCAGCCGCCUGCCUCGGCCUCCCAAAGUGCCGAGAUUGCAGCCUCUGCCCGGCCGCCACCCUGUCUGAGAGGUGAGGAGCGUCUCUGCCUGGCUGCCCAUCGUCUGGGAUGUGAGGAGCCCCUCUGCCCAGCCGCCCAGUCUGGGAAGUGAGGAGCCUCUCUGCCCGGCCGCCCAUCGUCUGGGAUGUGGGGAGCGCCUCUGCCCGGCUGCGACCCCGUCUGGGAACUGAGGAGCCUCUCUGCCCGGCUGCCACCCUGUCUGGGAGGUGAGGAGCGUCUCUGCCCGGCCGCCCCAUCUGAGAGCUCCUGCCUUGCUGCUGGGUGCUGGAGAGGCUAAAUGUAUGACUAAGGAGCAUCAAGUGACUACCAAACCCAAACUCCCCAUCAAGCACUGGGUACGAACUAAUUCCAGUUUUUCCGUCUCCAAAU
rnacentral:lncRNA from 10 species